AGUGGGAUAGCUGGGUCAAAUGGUGGUUCCAUUCCAAGUUUUCUGAGGAAUCUCCAUACUGCUUUCCAUAGUGGUUGCACCAAUUUGCAGUUCCACCAGCAAU
rnacentral:pre_miRNA from 1 species